ensembl:lncRNA
AUUUUUGCGACUUUGGAGCCCUCUACAGUUAAAUGAGUGGAACUCAAUGUCGUAAUUACAGUUUAUGCGUGCAUUUGUUACUGCCGUAAAGCAAUCCGUCAUUUUGGCGGUUCCCGCUCACCACAUUCUCCUGAGAGAGAUGUUUGGGAAACAAACAGAAGAUAAAAGACAUUCGCCUUUUUUUGAAGUCAGUGUACCAUCGGAAUGACUCUGAAACUGAUAUUUCAAGGUAUCCAGGACGAGGGCUUUGGGUGCAGGUGCUGCGGGACGGGCUGCGCUGGCAUGCACAGACACUCACUGAAGAAGGGGGUGGGACACUUUUCACUUGGACCAAUAAGAAACCACAUAGUAACGUCCUGGCAACCACUCACAACAUGGCAACCGGUUUUGCCCAGGCAAGUACAUUUAUUUGCAGUGUAAACGUCUCAUUCGUUCUUCUUCACCACACUCUUCACUCCUGCUUUUCCACACACAAACCCACACACACACACAGUGGAAACGAGACUGAUAAUCAUCUCUGUAAAUUCCAGCUCCGCUCAGAGGUGCAGAAAGCAGUGACACGCCACAUAAACAGCCAGAAACUGUGA